GGGGGGGGUAAGAGGGUUUCGUCUUUUCCUGCUGCCCCCUUCCGGCUCGGGGAAGUGGCGGGACCUUGGCAGCGCCCGGAGCGGGGCGGCUCUAAUCGAGGGACGCCUGGGCCCAAGUGGCAGGGACCCGGCCGAAGAGCAGAGUUGGCUUUUCCAGACUGGGGCUCAGCCCGCCCCUCCUUCAGGACCCUCCCCUCGGGACCGAGCCGAUCGCCGCGGGCGGUUGGGGCCAGCUCUCUUGGCGCGAUUGUUCCUUGCUUUAUCAAGCGAAGUUGAUGGCAAACGUUAACCUCACAGUGAGUUCUGCAAAUUCUUAGCACUUCUUGAGCCACCCUCUAGAGGGCAGUAUUAUAUAUAUAUGUGGAAUGAUCCAAUUUCAACCAAAAAAUAGGCUCUUGUACAUGAUAAUUAGAAAUAACGUGAUGUUCUUAAAGAACACAUUGGAAUCAAUAUUGUGAAUAAAACUUAUUUUCUGAGCAAAAAAGUAAAAUGUUAGAAAUGAAUUCAUUAAUAUUCUGAACAUUCUUUUUUUAACUUGUAAAAACUGAACUUUAAUGGCUUGAAUAUACAAUGAUCUAUUCUAACAAUUAUGCAUAGACUUUAAUAAU
rnacentral:lncRNA from 1 species